UACGUAGGGUGCGAGCGUUAAUCGGAAUUACUGGGCGUAAAGCGUGCGCAGGCGGUUUUGUAAGCCAGAUGUGAAAUCCCCGGGCUUAACCUGGGAAUGGCAUUUGGGACUGCAAGGCUUGAGUGCGGCAGAGGAGACUGGAAUUCCUGGUGUAGCAGUGAAAUGCGUAGAUAUCUGGAGGAACACCGGUGGCGAAGGCGGCUCACUGGCCCGGUACUGACGCUGAGGUGCGAAAGCGUGGGGAGCAAACGGG
rnacentral:rRNA from 1 species